rnacentral:rRNA from 1 species
UACGAAGGGUGCUAGCGUUGUUCGGAAUCACUGGGCGUAAAGCGCACGUAGGCGGAUUUGUAAGUCAGGGGUGAAAUCCCGGGGCUCAACCUCGGAACUGCCUUUGAUACAGCAAGUCUUGAGUUCGAGAGAGGUGGGUGGAAUUCCUAGUGUAGAGGUGAAAUUCGUAGAUAUUCGCAAGAACACCAGUGGCGAAGGCGGCUCACUGGCCCGGUACUGACGCUGAGGCACGAAAGCGUGGGGAGCAAACAGG